GACGAACGCUGGCGGCGUGCUUAACACAUGCAAGUCGAACGGAAAGGCCCUGCUUUUGUGGCGUGCGCGAGUGGCGAACGGGUGAGAAACACGUGAGUAACCUGCCCUUGACUUUGGGAGAACUUCAGUAAACUGGGGCUAAUACCGGAUAGGAGCGCCUGCGGCAGGGGGGGGGUUGGCGAGUGUGGGCCGUGGUGGAUGGACUCGCGGCUUCUCAGCUUGUGGGUGGGGGAGUGGCCUACCAGGGCAUUGACGGGUAGCCGGCCUGAGAGGGUGACCGGCCACAUUGCUGCGGAGAUAAGGCGCAGACUCCUCCGGGGGGCAGUAGCGGGGAAGAUUGCACAAUGGUGGGAAGAAGGAUGAAGCAACGCCGCGUGCGGGAUGACGGCCGUCGGGUUGUAAAGCGCUUCCGCCUGUGAAGAAGAGUGAGUGACGGUAAUGGGUGAAGAAGCACCGGCUAACUACGUG
rnacentral:rRNA from 1 species